rnacentral:lncRNA from 1 species
GUUCUUUGUUUUUUUGCUUUCGUGAGCAUUCAUGAUGAUGUAUUAUGUCUUUCUGAUUUCAUAUACUUAUUAGGUUAUUCUAUUUACUUAAUAGAUUCUUAUAUUAUUUGUCAUGUUUGUUUCUUGUUAUUCAUAGAUAAGUUCCUCACACCGAUACAAAUUCCGAAGGAAGAGCACGUUCUGACCCAUAUUUUACAGGUUAGCAACACCAAAUAUGUAUUAGUUGUCCUCGACAAAUUCGAUGCACAACAGAAGACUAUGUUCGAGGAAAGUUGUUUAGGACAUGUCGUGAAGUUGCUCAAGCUCAAAUUAUCUGCAUAAUUAGUUCAUGAAAUGGUUAAUAGAUGAGUGAUUUGCUGAAAACGUUUUGAGGCUUGGUUCAAGGUCAAUCAAUGGUUUACAAGAUUUGGAAUGUCGGAGUUCUCACUGAUCACGGGCUUAAAUUGUGGAGAAUUGCCUAAAAGGUUGGCUUUCGACAACAUUCUAGAGAAAACUAGGCUACGAGACAAAAUGUUUAUUUAUGGAGAUUGGAUAACUUUUAGCGAUUUGUAGAAGGUUUUCUUGAAAUGUGCUAACCGUAACGAUCGUUACAAACUUGGUUUGGUAUAUAAUUAUUGAAGGGGUUUUAAUUCGAGAUACCUAAAUGUGGGGAUUCAUCCUAAACUCUCGUCAUUAUGGACGACUUAGAUUUCUUCAUUGCUUACCCAUGGAGGACAGUAUGUUUUAAACUUCUUAUCAAAUUAGUGCUCCGUGGAUGAAGGAGAAAUGUGGACUUGGCAAAGGUCAACGAUUAUGACAGGAUGUCUUACACGUACGGAUUCCUUCUUGCUAUUCAGUAUGUCUGUUUAUUUCAUUCAUAUUCAUUGUACAUUGUUAUUUAUGUCCGUAUGUGGUAAUCACUGUUAUACAUGUGCUGCAAUUGUGGGUGUACGAGGCAAUCCCAAAGUUGGGAGCUCGAUUUGUGAGCAAGAUUAGUGACGACCUUUCGAGGAUGUUGCGGUGGUCACCACCAGAUAGCCUCAAUCGAGAACAUAUUUAAAUUUCUUCGACAAGACACACAUGAGCAUUUAUAUAUACAACUGCCCUUACACUAGUAGCAUAUAUCACAAUUUUAUUUGACAAGACACUUUUCCUCCCUUUGUGGUUGCACUUGUGGACACUAUCUCUGAAGAAGAAUAGCAGCCAUACUUUGCUACUUUACUUCCAUUAGAUGAUGUUACUGACCAAUUUUUGACAAUCUCGUCAUUCAAUCAACUGAAAUACAAGAUUACCUGUCAAAAGGCAAAGUGAUACGCAAUGACGAGAAAAACAACCGAUGCAACAGAUUCAGGAGAGGUAACACAAGUGGGAUUCGUCUUCGAGAUUUCAGUGACGAUAAAGGGGGAGAAAAAGAGCAUUGUGAUCCAGUCCAGGACUUUCCAUCCAUUUUUGGCUUGGAAAAUCAUCUAAUAGCAAGCCAUGUGUAUACGGAUGAGAUAAAAGGCAUGUUGAUUUAACAUAGAGAGUUCAUUGGGAUUACGCUGUGUAAAUUGAGGGACAAAAUGAACGCAAGGUUCAAUGGUCUUGAAAAGAAAAUGGGGGAUCAUGUGCACAAGAUGAAUGAGCAUUGACUGAUUAGAUAAGUGUGAUCAAAUGAAAGUUUGAGGAUGUAGUUACAGAAAUUGGGAGAGAAAAUGUGCGUGAUGAGUAUGGUGCAUUUGGUUAUGGUGAUGGUGAUGGAGAUAUGCACAAACGUGAUUACUAUGAUGAUUUCUCGUUGCCCAACACUACAAUUGACGAACAACAUGUCGAGGCAACAAGAGUACAUGCUAGCAAUGUUAAGGCAACCAAACUAGAUGUUGGCUACGUCAAGGCAACCGAAGCAAAUGCUGUAAGCAUCGAGGCAACCAAACUAGAUGCUCGCAACGUCGAUGAGUUGUCCAAAAAGUGCUUAGAUAUGGUUGCCACCAAUGCUAUACUGCCAUCUUGAGCUUGAUCCCUCAGGGUAAAGCUGUCAAAUGCUAGCACUCAGACUCCUUUUAUACGGUUCGAUUGUAGAAAGGGUAAGAGAGGUGUGUAGUUAGUUUACAAUGUUGGUGGAGUAUGGCAUUGUAUGUUUUGGAAAAUAUUUAUAACCUCAUUUUGUGUGCCAUCAUUAGGCAAAUUUUUUGGUUGAUGGUACAAUUCUCAUUGUUGAUGUAGAAUUGAAAUGGGUACAAGAGUAUUUUAUUUCAGUAAGUACAUGUUGUUUAGGACUUAUAUUGUGCACACAUUUGAAAUGUCAGUUUACGAGAAUAACAUGUAUUUUAUGUCGAGAACAACACUUUAAAUGUCGAGACAUGUCUGGAAUGUAUAAAACUCUAGGAAAUAGAAUGAAAUCUUGUUAGAUACAUGAACUAUUAAAUGUUGAGAUAAAUUGGGUCCAAAUGUCGAUAACGACUUUUCAAAUGAAGAAAACUUGAUGAAAUGUUAAGAAAUAUAUGAACUGUCGAGUGUCAAGAUAAACAAGGUCAAAUUGUUGAUAAUAACAUUCCAAAUGACGAAAACAUGGUGAAAUGUUAAGAACAAAUUUGAACUGUUCGGUGGACUGGCAAGAUGACAACGAGAUUUCCCAAUAUGAUUUUAACAAAAUGUGUGUUAUAAAUUCAUGCUGGUAAUAGAUACAAUUUCACUAUUUACACAACAAGCACAAAAUCUACAACCUAUAUCGUUAAAAUCAAUUGUAAAUACAUGGAAUAGGAGUUGGUGUGUACUCUUCUAAUGUAAGUACACCUCAUUAACCAUGCUUUACACCUCUACAUAAGCAUG